CCUCUUCCUUUUAUUGUUACCACUUACCAUACACAUUUCACUUAUGAUUCACAUGACUUUAUAUUUUUGAUAAAAUUAUAAUUCCAAAAAGAAAAUAAAAAAAAUGGAAUGAUCUUUUCAAUUAAAUGUUAUUGUAUGUGCUAUGCAUGUUUUUUGCUUUUUGGUUCUUUCAUUUAGGGCAAUGGAGAAUAAGGAGCUCUCUCCAGUCCAGUCCGAGGCAGUCGAUAACUAAAAAUACAGCUGAUGACUCGUUGAUUCUUAAGCACGUCGUAAACAAGAUGGAGUUUUGGAAAUUUGACGUGUUUGAGAUUCAACGAUGCAUGAGCUGUGUUUAGCUAUCGCUGUCACGUCUUGGACUGAAGGGAGCUCCCUAUUAUAUCCACUUCCCUUUAAUUAAUGUUUCAUUCACUAGUUUAUAUUUUUUUUACGUUAUCAGUGUAAUUUAACAUGUUAUAAACCCCGUUUGUUAUCAUUACUUAGGUGUUAAUAUACAGGUCGAUAACUUUAUUUGAUGAUGUGAAUAUAUUAGUAUACACUGUCAGUAUACAAAACUUACAUUCAAUUGCUUUUUUCAAUUUUUAUAUCCCUAUAGAUUGAAAGAAGUGAAGAGGAACGUUGGAGUUAUCGUUAAAGUUGCUGUUGUCAUGUUGCUAGAAUGUCACGUUUUCAAGUUUUGAAAACUGUCUUAUUUAGAAAUGCAAGUAGGUUGUAUAUAUAUAUACAUGGAUAUUCAUAAACAUGCAAAGCUUAAAGUUUAUUGGAAGAAGGUUCAAAGUGUGAUAGACCAAAAAUCAUGCUGGUGUUUUGAAUUUCGAUGAUGUUAAUUACUGUAUAAAAAAAAGAUGAAGUCGUCUUUGGUAAGGAGCGCUGAGUUCAGCAACACGUUUACUAUUUGGAAAUGAAUGGCGCUUGGCAGGGUAAAAAGAAGAUUUUUUUUCCAUUAGCCGAGAAAAGAAGUAGCAAAGAAAUAUCACUAUAGUGGAAAAAAAACCCAUAGGGUUGAACGAAGGGAUACGGUUAAAAACAAAAAGAAGAGAUCAAGGAGCGGGAGCUAGACGAGCACUUGCAAAAGAGCGAACGGCAGAUUCAAAACUGCUAUAUAGUAAAAUAGAACGAAAGUACCUCGAUCGGGAGGUUUUACUCCCAACAAUACUUUUCGGUAGGAAUUCAAAUUAAUCAAGUACUGAACAUCGUGUGAGAACCAAAUAAUUGUGAAUUUGGUACAUGAAAAAGUUAGGGUUUUUGAAGAAAGCUAACAGCUAAAUGGAUUCUAUACAUGAUUAGUUUUAAUUGUUCUUGGUCUACUUGUAUUAGAUGGACAAUUAUGAUCUUGUUAAUUAAUAUUCUUGUAAUGGGGUGGUUAAUUAAUGUUACUACUAAUGUUGUGCCUAAUUGAAUUACUUAUUUUAUUCUCUUA